rnacentral:rRNA from 1 species
UACGGGGGGGGCAAGCGUUGUUCGGAAUUACUGGGCGUAAAGGGCUCGUAGGCGGCCAACUAAGUCGGACGUGAAAUCCCUCGGCUUAACCGGGGAACUGCGUCCGAUACUGGAUGGCUUGAGGUUGGGAGAGGGAUGCGGAAUUCCAGGUGUAGCGGUGAAAUGCGUAGAUAUCUGGAGGAACACCGGCGGCGAAGGCGGCAUCCUGGACCAAUUCUGACGCUGAGGAGCGAAAGCCAGGGGAGCAAACGGG